AAGAUAGAAAAUGUACGCAUUGAGCAAAAAUAUGUGGGAGCAACAAAGAAGGAGGUGCACAUUCAGGAGUGGGAAAUGUAAAUUUGCAAAGAUUUGUGGGAUCUGACGUUAAAUCGCCGAUAGGUUUACCAAAUACGGAAGGAUUAUGAGCAAUUGCAUUAUGUUGAUGUGCAUUACGAUGAGGAAAUUUAAAAUAAUUCGUUAAAGAACGACGAUGCAAGCCAGUGGACUGACGUUUUGGAGAGUAAGUAAGAGAGGGGCGGCGGAGGAUAGAGGACCAAGAUCCCUUGGAAGGGCUUCGCUUUGGAGAAUCUUGAGAGGCAUUGAACUGUCUUUGAGAGCCAAAUGAAGAUGGUGGGUAUUGGAGAGGUUCCAACGUAUCUGAUGAGGAUAGUUGAUUCGUAGCCGACAAGGAGGGAGAAUCUUGUGAAGUUUGUAACUCGUGUGAAAGGGAGCUUAGAUUUAGGGAUGACCUCCCUAGAGGACCAUUGUUUGAAGGUUUAUCAAACCGAACUUCUGAUACUGCGCUUUCUUGAAGGUAAAAGCUAACAUGUUCUAGGGAGGACGGAGUAUCUCUCUCUUCCAAUAGUGUCGAGUGUAUCAGCUUAGUAGGGGAUCCACAUGGAGUGAAAUAUUUAUCAGUAUGAGCAUCUGGAGGUGAAGAACUUUUGGAUUCAUUAAAUACGCUAUCGUCGGAGUACAGAGAUUGUUUAACCUCUUUUAUCUGGGAAACGUACUCCUCGAGAUUAAUUUCGUGUAUGUUGUAAGUCUGAGCUAGC